GACGAACGCUGGCGGCGUGCUUAACACAUGCAAGUCGAACGGAAAGGCCCUGCUUUUGUUGGGUGCUCGAGUGGCGAACGGGUGAGUAACACGUGAGUAACCUGCCCUUGACUUUGGGAUAACUUCAGGAAACUGGGGCUAAUACCGGAUAGGAGCUCCUGCUGCAUGGUGGGGGUUGGUAAGUUUCGGCGGUUGGGGAUGGACUCGCGGCUUAUCAGCUUGUUGGUGGGGUAGUGGCUUACCAAGGCUUUGACGGGUAGCCGGCCUGAGAGGGUGACCGGCCACAUUGGGACUGAGAUACGGCCCAGACUCCUACGGGAGGCAGCAGUGGGGAAUAUUGCACAAUGGGCGGAAGCCUGAUGCAGCAACGCCGCGUGCGGGAUGACGGCCUUCGGGUUGUAAACCGCUUUCGCCUGUGACGAAGCGUGAGUGACGGUAAUGGGUAAAGAAGCACCGGCUAACUACGUG
rnacentral:rRNA from 1 species